rnacentral:rRNA from 1 species
GACGAACGCUGGCGGCGUGCUUAACACAUGCACGUCGAACGGAAAGGCCCUGCUUUUGUGGGGUGCUCGAGUGGCGAACGGGUGAGUAACACGUGAGUAACCUGCCCUUGACUUUGGGAUAACUUCAGGAAACUGGGGCUAAUACCGGCUAGGAGCUCCUGCUGCAUGGUGGGGGUUGGAAAGUUUCGGCGGUUGGGGAUGGACUCGCGGCUUAUCAGCUUGUUGGUGGGGUAGUGGCUUACCAAGGCUUUGACGGGUAGCCGGCCUGAGAGGGUGACCGGCCACAUUGGGACUGAGAUACGGCCCAGACUCCUACGGGAGGCAGCAGUGGGGAAUAUUGCACAAUGGGCGGAAGCCUGAUGCAGCAACGCCGCGUGCGGGAUGACGGCCUUCGGGUUGUAAACCGCUUUCGCCUGUGACGAAGCGUGAGUGACGGUAAUGGGUAAAGAAGCACCGGCUAACUACGUG